CUGGGCUCGUCUUUACAUCUAAACAGUUGACAAUCUGGAUUUAGCUUACGGGUUAGUUCAGAUGUCUCCUCUAAGUGGUGUGUAGUGUCGAAUGAUAGGAUGACUAAUGAAUAAUGAAUUAGAGGGGUUUAAGACGAAAGUGUUUCUGAUAUAAUUUGAGGUACUAUUACGGAAUUGCUAAGAAGGAAUGAGAAAGAUUUUUUAAAAAAAUCUUAAUCAGGAUAGUUGGUCGCCGUACUGUGAUUUAAACGAAUAAAAGUCUUGGUGAAUAAUUCUUUAUUUAUGUUAAACGAAAUCACAUGAAUACUAAACACGUGAUUUAAUUAGUGUUUUACAUAAAUUUAAGUGUAUGAAGAUUUCUUCAGUGUUUUUUUAGGCAGAAAACAGUGGUACGCUCACGCGAUCUUCACAUUUCUUCAGAGAGCGGGGAAGACGCACGAAACAAAACGGAUCUCCGUGUUGGAAGAACGUACAAUAUCGAGUGUUCCAGAAAUUACGUUCCAAUUAUGUGAAUUGAGAUUAGAUCGUGAGCCCAGGGUCCGUUCUUCUUAUCUCAUGCCCGGGGUGUUAGAACAAGACGGAAUAGUUGCUGGCAAAAACGGUUAUCCUUACCAGAAAACACGGCUGUGUGAAAAAUAUUUGUGUUGUAUCGUGCAGGUGUUUGUGUCAUGUUCCAGAGACCGGUUAAAAGAACCCUGUUUCAUGACCCGGUAAAUUAAGGGAUUAGUUCUAAAAUGAAAGGGGUGUUUCCUGUUGAACUAUCUCAGUUCCACGUGUUAAAGCAGUUUGUGAGUAAAGUGACUAACAACUGACACCUCGCAGUUCAAUUGUUCAAGUCACGAUGCCUGAAGAGUCCGACUAUGGGGCAGUAUUUACUGAACACGUUGUAUCUUAAUGUUAGGUUAGGUUUAUGACAUUGUGUUUUCAAAAAACUAUACCUUCCUUGUGCCUCACACUUCGUUUGUUCUUUAGCCACUGAUGAAUGAGAGUACAAAUCAAACAAACACACAUAGUCUACCAGUGUCCGAGGUACUGAAACAAUUCUGGAUUAUUUUGCAUUCCUUGCAAGAAGUGAAUGGCGAGAAGGCAUUAUGGAUUGAUCAUGUUUAGUCGAUUCAAGUCGAGAACCACUCGACAGAUUUGGAUGAAAUUUGGUGUGGAGGUUGUGCCGUUCUGUAAGACUUCAGAAUCGUGCUUUUGAUUAUCCAAAGAGCGCUGAUAACAAAAUGGCGAAUGAGGAAAGUCGUGAGGUGGACAUCGAGGUGAUAGGAUCUGGUGACCAAAGUGGAAAUUAUCGAACAUGGCGGAUUUUAUACCUCUAAAUGCACGUUUUAAAGAACGCAUGAAGAUAUUAUGUGUAUACCAGCACGGAAACGCGAAUCAGGUGUUGCAUUUUGUAACAAAGGUGUAUCUUAGAAGUGGUCAAACAAUCUGUUUAAAAUACUUAGCUGCAUAUUCCAUACAUCGCACACAAAAUGAACAUGGCCAGUUAUUUUAUAGUUAGCGAUAUUUGAGAAUCUUAUGAAUUACCAGACAUAAAAUAAACAAGUCGCAUCCUUUUUUAAA